GAUUCAUUGUAAGCUGGGCAGGGGGAGCAGAUAUUUUUUCAUGGCAUAGGAGACUGAAUGGAUCACAACAACAGACCCAGUCUGACCAGUAAUGGGUCCAGAACAUCUUCCUGAGAGAACUCCUGAAGAAGGUGGGCUUUCCCCCAGCUCUUCAACAUCAAGACAUGCAAAUAAAGGGAACCGGUGUCUGGUGACAGUGAGCCUUGCCAGAGUGGAGGAAUUUGCCUUUUAGAGGGCAGAGCUUUGGAGCAGGCACAGAAAGUGAAGGAGACACUGAUGCUGAAGUACGAUGCUGAAUUAUCUAAAAGGAACAGAGAUCAAAUCAAAGAGGAACACUUAAAUUAGGUCAGGAAGAAGGAAAACACUGGGUCUAGUUGAAACCACAGCAGAAACCUAGGAAGUGGGAGUGAUGUGCAAGCUGGAACCAAGGCAAGAGGAGAAGGACACCACACAAAGUGCCAUGGGAUUUUUCAUACCAAGGAAUAAA